CUACGGGAGGCAGCAGUAGGGAAUAUUGCACAAUGGGGGAAACCCUGAUGCAGCAACGCCGCGUGAGUGAAGAAGGCCCUUGGGUCGUAAAGCUCUUUAGCGAGGGGAGAGGGUUGGUACGGUGAACAAUCGGAUCAGCUGACGGUACCUCGAGAAUAAGCACCGGCUAAUUUCGUG
rnacentral:rRNA from 1 species